rnacentral:rRNA from 1 species
CAGGGUCCUAUGUUCUUUGUACCCAUCGUCCCACCUUGAAAUUCCUAGAUCCUGACUGAUUUUGGAAACUAAGAAGAGCCAUGUCUGGUUAGGAUAUGGAUGAGAGACCACCAGUGACCUCCUGAUAGGGCUUGGA